UAGGGAAUCUUCCGCAAUGGGCGAAAGCCUGACGGAGCAACGCCGCGUGAGUGAUGAAGGUCUUCGGAUCGUAAAACUCUGUUAUUAGGGAAGAACAAAUGUGUAAGUAACUAUGCACGUCUUGACGGUACCUAAUCAGAAAGCCACGGCUAACUACGUGCCAGCAGCCGCGGUAAUACGUAGGUGGCAAGCGUUAUCCGGAAUUAUUGGGCGUAAAGCGCGCGUAGGCGGUUUUUUAAGUCUGAUGUGAAAGCCCACGGCUCAACCGUGGAGGGUCAUUGGAAACUGGAAAACUUGAGUGCAGAAGAGGAAAGUGGAAUUCCAUGUGUAGCGGUGAAAUGCGCAGAGAUAUGGAGGAAAACCAGUGGCGAAGGCGACUUUCUGGUCUGUAACUGACGCUGAUGUGCGAAGGCGUGGGGAUCAAACAGG
rnacentral:rRNA from 1 species